rnacentral:rRNA from 1 species
UCCUCGGGGGGCAGCAGUGAGGAAUAUUGGGCAAUGGAGGAAACUCUGACCCAGCCAUGCCGCGUGAGUGAAGAAGGUUUUCGAAUUAUAAAGCUCUUUCGGAUGUGAAGAUGAUGACGGUAACAUCUAAAGAAGCCCCGGCAAACUUCGUGCCAGCAGCCGCGGUAAUACGAAGGGGGCAAGCGUUGUUCGGAAUUACUGGACGUAAAGGGUGUGUAGGCGGGAAAGUAAGAUAAUGGUGAAAUGCCUGAGCUCAACUUGGGAACUGCCAUUAUAACUAUUUUUCUAGAGUGACAGAGAGGAUA